rnacentral:lncRNA from 11 species
CAGGAAAUAAGCAAGGGAGGGAAAGCCAAGUAGGACAGCACAUCUACACUGACUCUUUAUCCCCAAGGGACACACAGAGUUGAUUGGGAUUAAUCUGUCUUAACAUGACCUUGAACCGCAUUUAAAAAGAUCUACAAUAUUGUGGUCUGGUCUGGAAUGGGAGAAGGUCCAAGGGGAUGACAUCGUGAGUUAUUGCACUGGGUAACUAUCAUUAUUAUUGUUGUUGUUGUUGUUA